AUUGAACGCUGGCGGCAGGCUUAACACAUGCAAGUCGAGCGGGGAAGGUUGCUUCGGUAACUGACCUAGCGGCGGACGGGUGAGUAAUGCUUAGGAAUCUGCCAUUUAGUGGGGGACAACAUUCCGAAAGGAAUGCUAAUACCGCAUACGUCCUACGGGAGAAAGCAGGGGAUCUUCGGACCUUGCGCUAAAUGAUGAGCCUAAGUCGGAUUAGCUAGUUGGUGGGGUAAAGGCCUACCAAGGCGACGAUCUGUAGCGGGUCUGAGAGGAUGAUCCGCCGCACUGGGACUGAGACACGGCCCAGACUCCUACGGGAGGCAGCAGUGGGGAAUAUUGGACAAUGGGCGGAAGCCUGAUCCAGCCAUGCCGCGUGUGUGAAGAAGGCCUUAUGGCUGUAAAGCACUUUAAGCGAGGAGGAGGCUACCUAGAUUAAUACUCUAGGAUAGUGGACGUUACUCGCAGAAUAAGCACCGGCUAACUCUGUGCCAGCAGCCGCCGUAAUAC
rnacentral:rRNA from 1 species